GGGCGAUUAGCUCAGAUGGAUAGAGCGUUGGUCUCCGGAACCAGAGGUCGCGAGUUCGAGUCUCGCAUCGCCCACCA
rnacentral:tRNA from 1 species